AAAGCUCGUAGUUGGAUUUUGCAGGAGGGCGCACGACCGGGCUUUGCUCAGGCCGCGCGCCUACCUGUUUUUUGUCGGGGACUACGCCACUCUUAACUGGGGGGCGCUAGGACGCGGCUCGUUUACUUUGAAAAAAUUAGAGUGUUCAAAGCAGGCCUUUGCUUGAAUACAUUAGCAUGGAAUAAUGGAAUAGGACUUUGGUUCUAUUUUGUUGGUUUCUGGAACCGAAGUAAUGAUUAAUAGGGAUAGUUGGGGGCGUUUAUAUUUCCAUGUCAGAGGUGAAAUUCUUGGAUUUUGGAAAGAUAAACUUCUGCGAAAGCAUUCGCCAAGGAUGUUUUCAUUAAUCAAGAACGAAAGUUAGGGGAUCGAAGACGAUCAGAUACCGUCGUAGUCUUAACCAUAAACUAUGCCGACUAGGGAUCAGUGGACGUUAUUUUAUGACUCCAUUGGCACCUUGUGAGAAAUCAAAGUUUU
rnacentral:rRNA from 1 species